UACGGGGGGGUAAGCGUUGUUCGGAAUUACUGGGCGUAAAGGCUCGUAGGCGGCCAACUAAGUCAGACGUGAAAUCCCUCAGCUUAACUGGGGAACUGCGUCUGAUACUGGAUGGCUUGGAUUUGGGAGAGGAAUGCGGAAUUCCAGGUGUAGCGGUGAAAUGCGUAGAUAUCUGGAGGAACACCGGUGGCGAAGGCGGCAUUCUGGACCAAUAUUGACGCUGAGGAGCGAAAGCCAGGGGAGCAAACGGGG
rnacentral:rRNA from 1 species